AUUAUCCACAUUUUAAGUGGUUUACUAUGCUUACCAAGAAGUUGUUUGCUUCAGAAGAUUGCAUGUGAUGAAGAUAUGUAAUAAUUUUUUUCUUUUUUUUUUUUGGACUGGAGUGCUCACUGCAACCUCCGCCUCCCGGGUUCAAGCGAUUCUCCUGCCUCAGCCUCCCAAGUAGCUGGGAUUACAGGCGCCCGCCACCACGCCUGCUAAUUUUUGUAAAUUUAGUAGAGACGGGGUUUCACUAUGUUGGCCAGACUGGUCUCGAACUCCUGACCUUGUGAUCUGCCCGACUCGGCCUCCCAAAGUGCUGGGAUUACAGGCGUGAGCCACCGUGCCCGGCUGAUGUGCAUUUGUCUGGCCUUCCCUUUUACUGCUGGCUGGGAAGGAGGAGCAUCAGACCACAGAUCCUGGAAGGCACUUCUCUCCCUGACUGCUGCUCACACUGCCGUGAGAACCUGCUUAUAUCCAGGACCAA
rnacentral:lncRNA from 1 species